UACGAGGGGGGCAAGCGGUUGUUCGGAUUUAUUGGCGGUAAAGGGUGCGUAGGCGGUUUGGCAAGUCUGAUGUGAAAAUCUAGUGGGACUCCAACCCAUAGUCUGCAUCAGAAACUGCCGGGCUUGAGUAUGGGAGAGGUGAGUGGAAUUUCCGGUGUAGCGGUGAAAUGCGUAGAUAUCGGGAAGAACACCCGUGGCGAAGGCGGCUCUCUGGGACGGUACUGACGCUGAGACGCGAAAGCGUGGGGAGCGAACAGG
rnacentral:rRNA from 1 species